UAAUGAGGAUCGGUACGCCCAAUAUUUCACUUUGUCAGGUCACUUUUUUAAUCAUCAAACUCGCCAGAACAAACAAUAUGUUUCACUUCAAUUGCAGCAUCGACUCAGCCUAAUGCAGUGCUGUCCACUCAAGUCACCACUUCCACAGUAUAGAGCAAGAAAAACGUGCCUUCAGAAACCCGUAAGAGGUAUGCACCAAGCGAGGUAGAUUUCUUCCGGUUCCCAGAGAACGCUAACAUGCUGUGCUACGCAUGUGUAGCCCAUUCCAGUCAUGCGCAGAAACUCCCGAGGCAUGAUGGGAGUCAUAGUUCCCAACCUCCCGGCGACAAGACACGUCCUGCCAUGAAGUCAGUCCCUGUCUGUAUAGAAACCAUAAAGGAAGUCAUCUGACCCUUUGGAGUCCACCUUGUCAAGAAUAAGAAGGACCCAAUUGUUUGAGAAGAAGACAGCAGCCUUCUUGCAGACCAGGGUCAGUCCUCAGCCCGAAGUGGAUAUAAGCUGCUCCUAAGUAGCUGUGUGUGCUAGGAUUGAGUACCUGAGAAUGGUCCUUGAGUCCGCCUGAAAAACAGCGUAAGAGUCAUUGAUUAUUUUGCAGAUCAGCACUGACCAUGUAACUCAGACGCCAUUUCAAAGACUCCAUCAUCUUUCUUUUUCCCUUUGAACCAUUGACUUUUAGCCUUUGGAAGAAUUCCUCAAUUAUCAUUUUUUGCAGCGGCCGCAUGUGCGUGACUUAGGGUAUCUCGAAGAGUAAUUGUAAUACUUUUAUAUAUCAUAGUGUAUGUUAAUAAGCUUUACCUUUCUAUUUGACAAAACUGGUUUUAUAAUUAAAUAAUAACUUUGUUGUUUCUUGAAAGAA